UACAUGUGGGGCAAGCGUUGUUCGGAAUUACUGGGCAUAAAGGGUGCGUAGGCGGCUUGUUAAGUCAUUGGUGAAAGUUUUCGGCCCAACCGGAAAAUUGCCUGUGAUACUGGCGAGCUGGAGUUCGGCAGGGGAGACUGGAAUCCUGGUGUAGCGGUGAAAUGCGCAGAUAUCAGGAGGAACACCGGUGGCGAAGGCGGGUCUCUGGGCCGAUACUGACGCUGAGGAGCGAAAGCGUGGGGAGCGAACAGG
rnacentral:rRNA from 1 species